CUAAGGCUAAAUACUCUCUAGUGACCGAUAGUGAACCAGUACCGUGAGGGAAAGGUGAAAAGCACCCCGGAAGGGGAGUGAAAUAGAACCUGAAACCGUGUGCUUACAAGUAGUCAGAGCCCGUUAAUGGGUGAUGGCGUGCCUUUUGUAGAAUGAACCGGCGAGUUACGAUUUGAUGCAAGGUUAAGCAGUAAAUGUGGAGCCGUAGCGAAAGCGAGUCUGAAUAGGGCGUUUAGUAUUUGGUCGUAGACCCGAAACCAGGUGAUCUACCCUUGGUCAGGUUGAAGUUCAGGUAACACUGAAUGGAGGACCGAACCGACUUACGUUGAAAAGUGAGCGGAUGAACUGAGGGUAGCGGAGAAAUUCCAAUCGAACCUGGAGAUAGCUGGUUCUCUCCGAAAUAGCUUUAGGGCUAGCCUCAAGUGAUGAUUAUUGGAGGUAGAGCACUGUUUGGACGAGGGGCCCCUCUCGGGUUACCGAAUUCAGACAAACUCCGAAUGCCAAUUAAUUUAACUUGGGAGUCAGAACAUGGGUGAUAAGGUCCGUGUUCGAAAGGGAAACAGCCCAGACCACCAGCUAAGGUCCCAAAAUAUAUGUUAAGUGGAAAAGGAUGUGGCGUUGCCCAGACAACUAGGAUGUUGGCUUAGAAGCAGCCAUCAUUUAAAGAGUGCGUAAUAGCUCACUAGUCGAGUGACACUGCGCCGAAAAUGUACCGGGGCUAAACAUAUUACCGAAGCUGUGGAUUGUCCUUUGGACAAUGGUAGGAGAGCGUUCUAAGGGCGUUGAAGCAUGAUCGUAAGGACAUGUGGAGCGCUUAGAAGUGAGAAUGCCGGUGUGAGUAGCGAAAGACGGGUGAGAAUCCCGUCCACCGAUUGACUAAGGUUUCCAGAGGAAGGCUCGUCCGCUCUGGGUUAGUCGGGUCCUAAGCUGAGGCCGACAGGCGUAGGCGAUGGAUAACAGGUUGAUAUUCCUGUACCACCUAUAAUCGUUUUAAUCGAUGGGGGGACGCAGUAGGAUAGGCGAAGCGUGCGAUUGGAUUGCACGUCUAAGCAGUAAGGCUGAGUAUUAGGCAAAUCCGGUACUCGUUAAGGCUGA
rnacentral:rRNA from 1 species